AAAUCCGUAGUAGCAUGAUAAAUAGCUUCUCGACGCUUGUCAGGAGCGUGGGGCCCGAAACUAUGCACGUGGACGUGCGAAGCUGGACUCCAUGAAAAAAAGUCCAGCUGUAGCCACUCAUGAGUCACGACCCGUCCGCCGACGCUCCUGCUCCCGGACCCGUCUCUGCCUCAGCUUUAUAAUUUAUACAUAUGGCUCAUCAAACGAGUUGCGCCCCACGAUGCAGACCAGAGCAAAAUGCCAGCAAGUCCCACUCUUUGAUGACGAGGCCCCGGUGAGGCCGCAGACUGCAGCGUCCGUACUUAAAAACAUUAAAAAAAACACAUCUUACAGGAGUGUUGUCAAAGGGCGUUCGGCCUCCCUUGGACCGCGUCAAAUCCCACGGUGAAUAACACGCCACGCUGCUCCUCGUAUUUCACCAAUUUUCGAUUGCGCACUAUCCACCGUCCAUAUGCGUCGGGAUUUAUCCUGAUGCAUUUGCGCCUGUUGCAUGCAAUAAUUUUUCGUUCAAGUUGAUGGUCGGAAGAUGGGCGAAACAAGUAAAGGUGGCGCAUUGUUGUACGUAAAGAUUGGCGUGAGUUGCGAUGGAAAGUCUGUUGCCAGCUGGAAAGUUUGGCGGGUAACUUUUCCCCAGGUAACGUAUCUCAUAGCUGUCCGAUCACCCCCGGCUCGGGCUUCUGCCAUCCGUUGGUCCUUCGUCACGUGAGAGUGACACGCGAACCAGGCUUGGGAGAUGGAGCCAUGGUGUUGGAAUUGAUUGCGAAGUAGCCAAGUAGGGCGGGGGAUUAACCGUAGCACAUGUUUAUAAUAACCGUUUUGGUUUUGAUGUUGUCAUGUUUGGUAUACGUCACUUGAAAAAUGUAGUGUUUGUUGGAUAUUUCUAGAGGACCAUGUACGAAUCAGAUCGAUUGGCCCAACAAACUUUUUCUUUCUUUUUUUUUUUAAAGAAUCUACCGAAUCUUAUUCAAAAUUUAACUUUUGCACUAACACAUAAAACAAACACCCGCAGAGAUGAUGUUCGAUUGAUACAGAACAAUGCUUGAAUGAAUUGCUCCAUCAAUGAAUUCUAUAAGAUUUCCGCUCAAUCCUAUAGAAACUUUCAAACAGGCUCUUGUUGUACUACAAUUCUAUUUCUCGUCAUGGUUGAUCACCAGUUAAAUGAUUCCAACUUGAAUGAUUGAAACCCUCUAUGCUUGAAGUUGUGGCCAUCUGUUGGGCUCUUGAAUCGGUUGGUGCCCAACAAGGUAUAGUGGAAGACCAGAAGAUAAGAGGCAUGCUUCUACAUUCAAAUAUGAUUCAUAUAUCGUGAUGUUCAUGUAGCGUAUGUACACGUAGCAAACCUUACUUAAAACUUUAAAUUUCC
rnacentral:lncRNA from 1 species